rnacentral:lncRNA from 1 species
GCUGGGCACCAUGCAUUCAGCUAUUCUGGCCACCUUCUUCUUGUUGAGUUGGACUCACUGUUGGUCCCUGCCCCUUCCCUAUGGUGAUGAUGAUGAUGAUGACUUGUCUGAGGAAGAUCUUGAGUUUGCAGAGCACUACUUGAAAUCAUACUACCAUCCUGUGACUCUUGCGGGAAUCCUGAAGAAGUCUACAGUGACCUCUACAGUUGAUAGACUCCGAGAAAUGCAGUCUUUCUUUGGCUUAGAUGUGACUGGCAAACUUGAUGAUCCUACCUUAGACAUCAUGAGAAAACCAAGAUGUGGAGUGCCUGAUGUGGGUGAAUACAAUGUUUUCCCUCGAACACUCAAAUGGUCCCAAACAAACUUAACUUACAGAAUUGUGAACUACACCCCUGAUAUAUCCCAUUCUGAAGUGGAGAAGGCCUUCAGAAAAGCCUUCAAGGUCUGGUCUGAUGUGACACCUCUGAAUUUUACCAGGAUCCAUGAUGGCACUGCUGAUAUCAUGAUAUCUUUUGGAACUAAAG